CCUANGGGUGGCAGCAGUUUCGAAUCAUUCACAAUGGGCGAAAGCCUGAUGGUGCGACGCCGCGUGAGGGAUGAAGGUCUUCGGAUUGUAAACCUCUGUCACUGGGGAAGAAACGCUUUGAGUUAAUAGCUCAAAGCCUGACUUAACCCGGAGAGGAAGCAGUGGCUAACUCUGUGCCAACAGCCGCGGUAAUACAGAGACUGCAAGCGUUAUUCGGAUUCACUGGGCGUAAAGGGUGCGCAGGCGGCCGUGUGUGUGAGGUGUGAAAGCCCGGGGCUUAACCCCGGAAUUGCACCUCAAACUACAUGGCUAGAGCAUUGGAGAGGGUAGCAGAAUUCACGGUGUAGCAGUGAAAUGCGUAGAUAUCGUGAGGAAUACCAGAGGCGAAGGCGGCUACCUGGACAAUUGCUGACGCUCAGGCACGAAAGCGUGGGGAGCAAAAGGGAUUAGAUACCCGUNUANUC
rnacentral:rRNA from 1 species